AAAAGAAAAAAGAAGGAAUAAAAGUUCGGGACCAAGAGAGAAGAGAAAAGGGGAAAGGGGAGUGCUUACAUUAUAAUCUCUGCCCCUAUUCUUACCUUGUGUAUCUCUCCCUCACCCAUGCUCGCUCUCUCUCUCCCAGUAGUAGUACCAGAAGGAUAGAGCUAGUAACUUAAGGAAAGUAAAAGUCAA
rnacentral:ribozyme from 15 species